rnacentral:rRNA from 1 species
GACUGCCUACGGCGGGCAGCAGUGGGGAAUAUUGCACAAUGGGGGAAACCCUGAUGCAGCAACGCCGCGUGAGUGAAGAAGGUUUUCGGAUUGUAAAGCUCUGUUAGCAGGGAAGAGGAAGGACGGUACCUGCAGAGGAAGCCACGGCUAACUACGCGCCAGCAGCCGCGGUAAUACGUAGGUGGCAAGCGUUGUUCGGAAUAACUGGGCGUAAAGGAUGCGUAGGCGGUUAAACAAGGUA